AUUGAACGCUGGCGGCAGGCCUAACACACGCAAGUCGAGCGGCAGCGGAAAGUAGCUUGCUACUUUGCCGGCGAGCGGCGGACGGGUGAGUAAUGUCUGGGAAACUGCCCGAUGGAGGGGGAUAACUACUGGAAACGGUAGCUAAUACCGCAUAACGUCGCAAGACCAAAGAGGGGGACCUUCGGGCCUCUUGCCAUCGGAUGUGCCCAGAUGGGAUUAGCUAGUAGGUGGGGUAACGGCUCACCUAGGCGACGAUCCCUAGCUGGUCUGAGAGGAUGACCAGCCACACUGGAACUGAGACACGGUCCAGACUCCUACGGGAGGCAGCAGUGGGGAAUAUUGCACAAUGGGCGCAAGCCUGAUGCAGCCAUGCCGCGUGUAUGAAGAAGGCCUUCGGGUUGUAAAGUACUUUCAGCGGGGAGGAAGGUGUUGAGGUUAAUAACCUCAGCAAUUGACGUUACCCGCAGAAGAAGCACCGGCUAACUCCGUGCCAGCCGCCGCUGUAAUAC
rnacentral:rRNA from 1 species